UUCCCCUCUUACUGAUUUAGUCACGGCUGACCCUCCAAAAGCUGACAAUUUAAGUUUCGAAUCUGCUUGUUCGAAGGAAAAAGGUGUCAAUAUUGCUUUUCCUCUUGUUCACUGUUAAUAAGAAAAAUUUACGCUAUCGUCCAUUUCCUGGAAACCAGCGAGGUGGAGGUGGUCCCUAAAAUAUGGCUCGAGAAUAAUGAAACAGGACAGCUAAAGUGUUGGUGGCCCCUUAUAAGACAUCCAAGAAGGUUAGCCAUGCAGUUGAGGAACAAUAUCCAGUGCAAAUGGAGACUUGGGUAAUUAACAACGCAAAGAUUCUUGGACGAUAUGGUAAUCUUAUUUUAACUGCAACAAUAUAGCACCAAUAUUCAUGACGUAGAUGCUACAUUGUUAAGUAAUACUCCACCAUAUAGAUAUUUAGUCGUUACAAAUAUAAAUAUGAUUGUUGGGGGAUGAUGAUAUGAUUGUGUAAUCUAGAAAUACAUUUUGAGCCUAGUUUUGUCACUAGGUACACUGUUACAAAACAUUUAAAAGAUAGGAGCAACUUGAGACUAGUUUUGUCACUAGGUACACUGUUACAAAACAUUGAGAAUAGUUUGUCACCAGGGCAUAGUGCCGAGAGAUUAGUUAGAUGAUGAGAGAAGUGUGCUCCGGGAGACUCGACCAGAGGAGAGAGAGAGCAGGUUUGGAGAUUGAAGAAGAAGCAUCAGGCUUAUGAGCAGUCUCAGAAAUAAUUAAAAUUUAGGUGGAUAAGUCUUAACAAGUAGUUCUAAGUAGUAAUUAAGUGGUAGUAUCAUUUAAGGUUAUGGUUAAGAGUUAGUUUUAGUGUUUAUCAAUAUAAUAGUGUAACAUAUAACGUUCAGUUUAAUUAUUAAAAUAUAUUUCGGUUAAAACUUGAAAUCCUCCCAGUUUCUAUAAAGCGGUUUAAAUACUAAAUAGGGGCGUAUCUAACGGGUACGUGAACCAAGUCGGACGCCAAAUCCAAGGAUGGCGUUACAUAACAUUUUCAAAUAGGUUUAUGCCAACUUAUUGAAGGAUAACAUUAAUAUGUUGGGUUUGUAUUUUAGAAACAUACGCCGCUGCCCUCAAGAAUCUACCCCAGGCCGAGGUCACAUCAAAUUUGGAGUCGGAGGACGACUUCAUACAGGGAUGAAAUGUCGUCCGUAUUCCAGCUCCUUCUAGUGAUGAUGAUAGUCCUGCCCAGUGUGAAAAAAUAAUAUCUGGAAAAAGGAACAAGACGAUUCAACACAAUUCGUCACUACCUCCACCCCCCGAGCCAUCGCGUCAAAUUGCUUUUCGAUUAGCAGAAGGUUCCGGGACUCAAUGGAAGGAUACAGCAAAUACGACACACGUAGACCGAUAUGAGUCGCCAGUGUCGACGAUGUCAAAGCCAGUGUCGUCGUCAUUACCACUUCGACUUGAUAAGACACCCAUCACCACUGACCAAACCAACACUGAGAUUCUACCCGAUGAUGUUGCAAGUCAGUUUUGCUGGGAUGGAAUAAGGAAAACAAAUGGUAAACUUCCAUUUAAGGACUUGAAGCUGACGAAUGCCAUCUUUAUUAAAUCCACGACCACUGGAAACUGCUCGGAAGUAACGAAGCACGAUUUCAAGAAGAAAUGUGCAUCUUGGUUGAUACACGCACCAGAUCGCAUUAAAAACGUCAGUGGACAAUAUAACUAAUUGAUUUCUAUAAAUAUAAAAUACAUAACUCAUGUUUACUCAUUUACUCUAUUUUCAGGUUAAG